rnacentral:rRNA from 1 species
UACGGAGGGUGCGAGCGUUGUCCGGAAUCACUGGGCGUAAAGGGCGCGUAGGCGGCGCGGGUAGUCAUCGGUGAAAGUUCAGGGCUCAACUCUGAAUCGGCCGGUGAUACUCCCGUGCUCGAGCACUGUAGAGGCAGGUGGAAUUCCGGGUGUAGCGGUGGAAUGCGUAGAGAUACGGAAGAACACCGGUGGCGAAGGCGGCCUGCUGGGCAGUAGCUGACGCUGAUGCGCGACAGCGUGGGGAGCAAACAGG